rnacentral:rRNA from 1 species
UACAGAGGGUGCAAGCGUUAAUCGGAAUUACUGGGCGUAAAGCGCACGUAGGCGGUUUUUUAAGUCAGAUGUGAAAGCCCCGGGCUCAACCUGGGAAUUGCAUUUGAAACUGGGAAACUAGAGUGUGUGAGAGGGGGGUAGAAUUCCAAGUGUAGCGGUGAAAUGCGUAGAGAUUUGGAGGAAUACCAGUGGCGAAGGCGGCCCCCUGGCACGAUACUGACGCUCAGGUGCGAAAGCGUGGGGAGCAAACCGG